rnacentral:sRNA from 1 species
UUUUUUUACUCCAAAAAAUGUUUUAGUAUAGUUGGUUGUAGGUCUGGGCGUUCGGUUCUUCGGUUACAUUCAGUUUUUCUUUUUUUUUGGUUUUUUGGUUCCAGCCCAUUAGGGUCAAUAAGAGAACCGAAAACUUUAUGUUUGAUUUGGUUCGGUUACUUGUCAGUUCAGAUACUUAGAAAGAA